AAUAAAGAUAUCUUUGGUUGGGGCAACCACGAAGAAAAAACAACCUUCGUUUUUAUAAAAAAUAAACAAAUUUAAAACUUAAGUAAAGAUCCGGAAAUUACCGAUCAAAGAAAUAAGUUACCGCAGGGAUAACAGCGUUAUUCUCUUUAAGAGCUCGUAUUGACAAGAGAGUUUGCGACCUCGAUGUUGGACCAGGGCACCCAAGAGAUGCAAAAGUCUCUAAAGGUAGGUCUGUUCGACCUUUAAAGCCCUACGCGAUCUGAGUUCAGACCGACGUAAGUCAGGUCAGUUUCUAUCUA
rnacentral:rRNA from 1 species